GACCCAAGAUUUUUGGAAAGAAUCUUUCUUUAAUUUAAUUAUGCAAUUUCAAAUCAAUCCAUCUGGGCGAAAUAAGUCGAAACCAAAUAGUAUUAUUGCUCACUUGGCUCUCAUCAGCAACAUAUCCAUCAGUUGAUCCAAGGGCCACCAUUGAAGAAGUGUAUAUAAUCUUCUCUAUCAUUUUUGUCUCUUUAGCUGCUUGCACCACAUUCUUUAAUCCUCCUACGUUCACCUGUCAAGAAUUAUUAACAGAAAACUAAAUAGUGUUGUUUUCAGUGAUUUCAUAUAGAAAAAGUGGAAGCGGAAACUCAGAGCGGACGGGACGUGCUUACGGAGAAGAAUUUAGAAGGAUCUGGAAGCCAGGGCUCGACAGCGGCGGCAGCAUGGAAGAUCACGUCGCAGCCGAAGAUGGCAUCC
rnacentral:lncRNA from 1 species